GACGAGGGUCCUAGCGUUGCUCGGAAUCAUUUGGGCGUAAAGCGGGUGUAGGCGGCUUCAUAAGUCAGUUGUGAAAGCCCCAAGUUCAACUUGGGAAGUGCCUUCUGAUACUGUGAGGCUUGAGUAUGGGAGAGGGCAGUAGAAUUCCUGGUGUAGUGGUGAAAUACGUAGAUAUCAGGAGGAAUACCGGUGGCGAAGGCGGCUGCCUGGCCCAAUACUGACGCUGAGACCCGAAAGCGUGGGGAUCAAACGGGA
rnacentral:rRNA from 1 species